GCACCUGAUCAGGUAAGUCAUCCAGCUUGCCCUGAACGAAAGAACGGACCGGUGUUCCCAGCCUGGUAGCUCUGCUUCUGCUGCCAGUUUCUGAUCGUCGGAUCGGUCAAGUCUCGCUCGGCUACGAAUCAGUCGCUGCGCCAUCCUCGACGGGAACGGUUCGGCUGUGUUACUUUGAAAAAUACACGAUUCGUACGUUCGCUGCGGCUGCGAGAUCGCCAACGGGAUCGGUUGGAUUUCUACCACGAAAUAACGUCUGUCGCACGAGAUUGCGACAAAUAACGGAUAG